AGUUCGUGUUUCGUUUUGAAUCGGGUGUGUAGUAUGUCUCACACAUUUUAAUGCAGUCUGUCUUGCCUGAUGCUUUUGUUUAUACUGAUACGUCUUGUUUGAUAUGGUUUUAAUGCUAUCCUGAGAAUGCCAUUUUAUUGUAUGAACAUUUAUUUGAUGAUUUCGAUGUAUUCGAAUGAUUUAUAACCGUUAUUCAUAGGCCUGAUGAAGGAGCUAAAUGCUCAGAAACGUUGCCAUUGAAUAAAUUGUAUACAACUGUU